CAUGUUUCUAAAUUCAUCUUCAUUUCCAGAUCUUGUGCAUAAUUUACAACCCUUUCAGACCUUGGUGGGAAAGAUACCAACCAGUUAGCUAUAAAUUAUGCACAAGAUCUGGAAAUGAAGAUGAAUUUAGAAACAUGGUGACUAGAUGCAACAAUGUUGGGGUUCGUAUUUAUGUGGAUGCUGUAAUUAAUCAUAUGUGUGGUAACGCUGUGAGUGCAGGAACAAGCAGUACCUGUGGAAGUUACUUCAACCCUGGAAGUAGGGACUUUCCAGCAGUCCCAUAUUCUGGAUGGGAUUUCAAUGAUGGUAAAUGUAAAACUGGAAGUGGAGAUAUCGAGAACUACAAUGAUGCUACUCAG
rnacentral:lncRNA from 1 species